UGUAAACAUCCUUCACUCUCAGCUGUCACCUAGGCAUCAAGCUGGGGUGGGGUGUUCACAGC
rnacentral:pre_miRNA from 1 species